rnacentral:rRNA from 1 species
GACGAACGCUGGCGGCGUGCCUAAUACAUGCAAGUCGAACGCAGUGGGGACGGGUGAGUAACACGUGGGAUACCUCCCAUCAGAGGGGAUAACACUAGGAAACAGGUGCUAAACCGAUACUGAUGGAUGAACUCGCGGUGCAUUAGCUAGUGGGUGAGGUAACGGCUUACCAAGGCAACGAUGCAUAGCCGACCUGAGAGGGUGAUCGGCCACACUGGGACUGAGACACGGUCCAGACUCCUACGGGAGGCAGCAGUGGGGAAUCUUGCACAAUGGGCGCAAGCCUGAUGCAGCCAUGCCGCGUGUAUGAAGAAGGCCUUCGGGUUGUAAACUACUUUCAGCGGGGAGGCGUUACCCGCAGAAGAAGCACCGGCUAACUCCGUGCCAGCAGCCGCGGUAAUAC